GCACUAGUAGCUCAGUUGUAAGAGCACCGAUCUUGUAAUUCGGUUGUCGGAGGUUAAAUUCCCCCCUAGUGCU
rnacentral:tRNA from 1 species